rnacentral:rRNA from 1 species
CCUACGGGAGGCAGCAGUAGGGAAUCUUCGGCAAUGGACGAAAGUCUGACCGAGCAACGCCGCGUGAGUGAAGAAGGUUUUCGGAUCGUAAAACUCUGUUGUUAGAGAAGAACAAGAGUGAAGAGUAACUGUUCACUCCUUGACGGUAUCUAACCAGGAAGCCACGGCUAACUACGUGCCAGCAGCCGCGGUAAU